UACGGAGGGUGCAAGCGUUAUCCGGAUUCACUGGGUUUAAAGGGUGCGUAGGUGGGCAGGUAAGUCAGUGGUGAAAUCUCCGGGCUUAACUCGGAAACUGCCAUUGAUGCUAUCUGUCUUGAAUACCGUGGAGGUUAGCGGAAUAUGUCAUGUAGCGGUGAAAUGCUUAGAUAUGACAUAGAACACCAAUUGCGAAGGCAGCUGGCUACACGAAUAUUGACACUGAUGCACGAAAGCGUGGGGAUCAAACAGG
rnacentral:rRNA from 1 species